rfam:Glossina fuscipes fuscipes unplaced genomic scaffold Scaffold32, whole genome shotgun sequence.
GUGCCUAAAUUUAAUGAGUAAGGAAAACCAUGUUGGUUUUGCUAAUCGCUCGUCUGGCUGUGCUUCUAAGGCAGUGGGAUGACGUUCAUCGGUAUCGCUUUUUCAUUUAGUGGUUCGAAAGAUAUGGGGUCCCAUAUGAAGCGUAAAUUUUUGGAAGGGCACAGCUCGUCAUCCCAUUGGAUUCUUUCUAGCUUUGGAGUCCACGGGAGGCGAUCUGCCCU